rnacentral:rRNA from 1 species
CCUACGGGUGGCAGCAGUGAGGAAUAUUGGUCAAUGGACGAGAGUCUGAACCAGCCAAGUAGCGUGAAGGAUGACUGCCCUAUGGGUUGUAAACUUCUUUUAUAUGGGAAUAAAAUGUUCCACGUGUGGGCUUUUGUAUGUACCAUAUGAAUAAGGAUCGGCUAACUCCGUGCCAGCAGCCGCGAUAAUACGGAGGAUCCGAGCGUUAUCCGGAUUUAUUGGGUUUAAAGGGAGCGUAGGUGGAUUGUUAAGUCAGUUGUGAAAGUUUGCGGCUCAACCGUAAAAUUGCAGUUGAAACUGGCAGUCUUGAGUACAGUAGAGGUGGGCGGAAUUCGUGGUGUAGUGGUGAAAUGCUUAGAUAUCACGAAGAACUCCGAUUGCGAAGGCAGCUCACUGGACUGCAACUGACACUGAGGCUCGAAAGUGUGGGUAUCAAACAGGAUUAGAUACCCUUGUAGUC